AGAGAGAGACAUGCGCGCAUAUCAAUAAGCGGAGGAAAAGGAAACUAACAAGGAUUCCCUUAGUAACGGCGAGUGAAGCGGGAAGAGCUCAAAUUUGAAAUCUUCAAGGUUUUACCUUGACGAAUUGUAGUUUAAAGAAGUGUUUUCUGCUGAAGUUUUGGUAAAAGUUCUUUGGAAUAGGACAUCAUAGAGGGUGAGAAUCCCGUAUUUGACCAUUAUUUUCAGCUUUGUGAUACACUUUCAAAGAGUCGGAUUGUUUGGGAAUGCAGUCCAAAAUGGGUGGUAAAUUUCAUCUAAAGCUAAAUAUUGGCGAGAGACCGAUAGCGAACAAGUACCGUGAGGGAAAGAUGAAAAGAACUUUGAAAAGAGAGUUAAACAGUACGUGAAAUUGUCAAAAGGGAAGCGUUUGACACCAGUGUUGUUUUCUCGAAAAUCAAUUAAAAAUGGCUCGAUUUUGUAUUGCUUGAGACCUUAAAAGCUCACUGUACAUUUUUCGUGUCUUUUUUAAUGCACUUUUCGUUUAACAAGUCAACAUCAGUUUCUUUUGUUGUAAAAGGGUCAUUGGAAGGUGGCUUUCUUUUCGGAGAAAGUGUUUAUAGCCUUUGGCCUCUGCAAUCGGAAGAGACUGAGGUCUGCAGCGUAGACUCUUCGGGGUUAGAUACAUUUGUGCUAAGUUAUAGCUUUUUAUAGACAACUUGUUGACUAUAAUUAGUCUUGUAGCUUACUCACUUAUGCUAUUUUACCUACGCUUAGGAUGUUGAGUCGUAGAGCACGCAG
rnacentral:rRNA from 1 species